rnacentral:rRNA from 1 species
UACGUAGGGAGCGAGCGUUGUCCGGAUUUAUUGGGCGUAAAGGGCGUGUAGGCGGCUUGUUAAGUCUGGAGUGAAAAUCCGGGGCUCAACCCCGGAACUGCUUCGGAUACUGACGAGCUUGAGUGCUCUAGAGGGCAGUGGAAUUCCGGGUGUAGCAGUGAAAUGCGUAGAUAUCCGGAGGAACACCAGUGGCGAAGGCGACUGCCUGGGGAGUAACUGACGCUGAGGCGCGAAAGCUGGGGGAGCAAACGGG